UACGUAGGGGGGCAAGCGUUGUCCGGAUUCAUUGGGCGUAAAGAGCUCGUAGGCGGCCUGUUGCGUCCGCUGUGAAAUCCCGGGGCUUAACCCCGGGCUUGCAGUGGAUACGGGCAGGCUGGAGGCAGGCAGGGGAGAACGGAAUUCCCGGUGUGAGCGGUGAAAUGCGCAGAUAUCGGGAGGAACACCGGUGGCGAAGGCGGUUCUCUGGGCCUGUACUGACGCUGAGGAGCGAAAGCGUGGGGAGCGAACAGGG
rnacentral:rRNA from 1 species